rnacentral:rRNA from 1 species
CCUACGGGAGGCAGCAGUGGGGGAUAUUGCACAAUGGGGGGAACCCUGAUGCAGCGACGCCGCGUGGGUGAAGAAGCGCCUCGGCGCGUAAAGCCCUGUCAGCAGGGAAGAAAAUGACGGUACCUGAAGAAGAAGCCCCGGCUAACUACGUGCCAGCAGCCGCGGGAAUACGUAGGGGGCAAGCGUUAUCCGGAUGUACGGGGGGUAAAGGGGGCGCAGACGGCGAUGCAAGCCAGGAGUGAAAGCCCGGGGCCCAACCCCGGGACGGCUGUUGGAACUGCGGGGCUGGAGUGCAGGAGGGGCAGGCGGAAUUCCUGGUGUAGCGGUGAAAUGCGUAGAUAUCAGGAGGAACACCGGUGGCGAAGGCGGCCUGCUGGACUGCAACUGACGUUGAGGCCCGAAAGCGUGGGGAGCAAACAGGAUUAGAUACCCCUGUAGUC